GUUGGGAGCUCUCCCAUAUGGUCGACCUGCAGGCGGCCGCGAAUUCACUAGUGAUUAGAGUUUGAUCAUGGCUCAGGACGAACGCUGGCGGCGCGCUUAACACAUGCAAGUCGAGCGAGAACCAGGCCUUCGGGCCUGGGGAAAGCGGCGAACGGGUGAGUAACACGUGAGUAAUCCACCCUCGGCACCGGGAUAGCCCGGGGAAACUCGGAUUAAUACCGGAUGGCCCAGCAGUCUCUCGGGACGGCUGGAAAAGGUAGCUUCGGCCUCCGGCCUGGGACGAGCCCGCGGCGGAUUAGCUUGUUGGUGGGGUAACGGCCUACCAAGGCGACGAUCCGUAGCUGGUCUGAGAGGACGAUCAGCCACACUGGGACUGAGACACGGCCCAGACUCCUACGGGAGGCAGCAGUGGGGAAUCUUGCACAAUGGGCGAAAGCCUGAUGCAGCGACGCCGCGUGAGGGAAGAAGGCUUUCGGGUUGUAAACCUCUUUCAGGAGGGACGAAGCCACUCGGGUUAAUAGCCCAGAGGGUGACGGUACCUCCAGAAGAAGCCCCGGCUAACUACGUGCCAGCAGGCGCGGUAAUAAAUCGAAUUCCCGCGGCCGUCAUGGCGGCCGGGAGCAUGCGAC
rnacentral:rRNA from 1 species